ensembl:lncRNA
CUCUGGGUGCCUCCACGCCCAGUUCCUUCCCCUCCUGUCAUCUCACCGUGGUCCCUAGAGGAGCUGUCUCUCUCUGUUUUCUGUGCUCCACUCUUUUACCCCCGUUUCUGAUGGGGAGGUGGCAGUGUGCACACAUGCCCGUCUGGGGCUAGGAGUCUGCGUGCAGAAUCCAGGAAGUGCUUUCAGCCUCUGAAAUGACACUUCCUAUGUUCCGACAACAAUGGAGUGCCAGUCACACAGGAUGAGCACACACGGCGGACGGCGGCUGGCUGGGGUGAUUGGUUCAUUCUGGAGUUGUCAUAGAAAUGGAAUCGUAUAGUAUGUGGUCCUCUGCAGCUGAUUCUUUUACUCAGCAUGAUGCUUUCAAGAUUCAAUAAUAGUCCAUUGUAAGGAUGUGCCACGUUUUGUUUAGCAAGCAGGAGUGGAAUUGCUGGGUCACGCCUAGGAGUGGAAUAUACACUGAUGAGUGGAAUUGCUGAGUCACAUGGAUAAACUGCCAGCUUUCAAGUACUCCUUGGUUUUCCUGGAUGAAUCAUGUGCCUUCUAGCACCUGGGGGCCCAGGGCUGCCCCUGUGUGGAAUUGGGGCCUGGCUCCUGACCUAGUGAAGGUGUAUCAGGAAUCUUCACUCGAGUCAACAUCUUCGUCAUUUGCCUUAAAGUUGUCAGUUGCCAGUGUGUUCGUGUUUUGUACAAACCAUAGUUGUACAGUGGGGUUAAUUUCCCAUGUGUGCACCGCCCCCACCCCCAGAGCAACAUGUGGAAUGUUCCAGCCCCCGGAAAGGCUUCCUGGUGGUUCAUCCCAGUCAAUUCCCUCAACCCUCCUCUCCUGCCCAGAAGUGACCUGUCUGACCUCUGUCAUCUUAGUUUUGCCUGAUUUUGAAUUUGUAUCCAGUAUUUUUUGCCCUGGCUUCUUGCACCCGGCAUAAUGUCUGUGAGUUUCAUCUUUGCUGCUGAGUGUCGUGAUCAAUGCUUUGUUCUAAUUGUUAUGUAGCCUUUCUUUGUAGAAUAUACCACGGUCGGCUUACCUGGUCUCCAGCUGAUUGCUAUUUGGACUUACUAGGAAUAAAGCUAAAAUUAAGUUCCAUGUAGGUGUCUUUAGCUUACCUCACGUCCUCCUUCCUCUUGGGCUUAGGAUAGACAUUUUCCAAAGUGACUGUAUAAGUUUUCAUUCCCACCAGCAGUGUGCGUGCAUGCUAAGUCACUGCAGUCGUGUCCAACUCUUUGCAACCCCAUGGACUGUAGCCCGUCAGGCUCCUCUGUCCAUGGAAUUCUCCAGGCAAGAAUACUGGAGUGGGUUGCCAUGCCCUCCAAGGGAUCUUUCUG